rnacentral:rRNA from 1 species
GUCUACGGCCAUACCACCCUGAACGCGCCCGAUCUCGUCUGAUCUCGGAAGCUAAGCAGGGUCGGGCCUGGUUAGUACUUGGAUGGGAGACUUCAUAGUCUUAAUGAAGCAGUUUGCU